GACGAACGCUGGCGGCGUGCUUAACACAUGCAAGUCGAACGGUGAACCUCUUCGGAGGGGAUCAGUGGCGAACGGGUGAGUAACACGUGGGCAACCUGCCCCCGGCUCUGGGAUAACUCCAAGAAAUUGGGGCUAAUACCGGAUGUUCACCGCUUCCCGCAUGGGGGGUGGUGGAAAGGGUUUCCGGCUGGGGAUGGGCCCGCGGCCUAUCAGCUUGUUGGUGGGGUAGUGGCCUACCAAGGCGACGACGGGUAGCCGGCCUGAGAGGGUGACCGGCCACACUGGGACUGAGACACGGCCCAGACUCCUACGGGAGGCAGCAGUGGGGAAUAUUGCGCCAUGGGCGGAAGCCUGACGCAGCGACGCCGCGUGGGGGAUGACGGCCUUCGGGUUGUAAACCUCUUUCAGCAGGGACGAAGCGCAAGUGACGGUACCUGCAGAAGAAGCACCGGCCAACUACGUG
rnacentral:rRNA from 1 species